GGACCCAUACCACCUUACAAUGCCCAAUCUCGUCUCAUCUUGGAAGCUAAGUCGGGUUGCGCCUGGUUAGUACAUGGAUGGCAGACCGCUAUCAGUCUACCCCAGGGCUGUGGCUCCU
rnacentral:rRNA from 1 species